rnacentral:rRNA from 1 species
AUUGAACGCUGGCGGCAUGCCUUACACAUGCAAGUCGAACGGCAGCACGGGUGCUUGCACCUGGUGGCGAGUGGCGAACGGGUGAGUAAUACAUCGGAACAUGUCCUGUAGUGGGGGAUAGCCCGGCGAAAGCCGGAUUAAUACCGCAUACGAUCUACGGAUGAAAGCGGGGGACCUUCGGGCCUCGCGCCAUAGGGUUGGCCGAUAGCUGAUUAGCUAGUUGGUGGGGUAAAGGCCUACCAAGGCGACGAUCAGUAGCUGGUCUGAGAGGACGACCAGCCACACUGGGACUGAGACACGGCCCAGACUCCUACGGGAGGCAGCAGUGGGGAAUUUUGGACAAUGGGCGAAAGCCUGAUCCAGCAAUGCCGCGUGUGUGAAGAAGGCCUUCGGGUUGUAAAGCACUUUUGUCCGGAAAGAAAUCCUUGGCUCUAAUACAGUCGGGGGAUGACGGUACCGGAAGAAUAAGCACCGGCUAACUACGUG